rnacentral:lncRNA from 1 species
UUUUAACUGGUUUGGUUUCCGGCUUCUCUUUCCCUCAUGGACCUACCUAUGUCAGGCCUCGAGGGAAGAAGAGACUAUAACAAGGAGGAAUGAGCAUCUCCAUUAGACGUGAAGGACCCCAAAGCAAGACUUCUUUGUAUCGUACAUGUGUUGUCACCAGAAAUAGAUCUGACAGAAACCCAGUACUACUUGAACUUAUAGUUGAAUCUGCAGAGCCACCAUGUCUUUGAAGCAGCUCCAAGAUUAUAAUAAUGAUGACCACCCUUGGAUUUGGGAGAACAGAGAGAGCAGGGAGGAAUAAUUUACCCUUAGCAUAAUUCUAGUGACUGCAAAAGCAAGGACUUUGGUAUCAAACAGAGUCCUGAC